AUGAUGAGAUAUUUGAAAGCAGACUGCGAGCUACCGUGGCUAUGUAUUGGUGAUUUUAAUGAGGUUCUGAGUCGGGAAGAACAGUUUGGACCUAAUGAGAGAGAAUUGGGUCAGAUUAAUGCAUUUAGGGAUGCGGUGGAUGUUUGUCAGUUGGCUGAUUUGGGGUACAGUGGGCUAGACUGGACGUUCGAGCGAAAGAUCCAGAAUGGUGCUUACUGUAGAGUUAGGCUCGACCGAGCCCUUGCGACGGCAGACUGGAGCUCCAUUUUCCCAUUAGCCUCAGUCCGUCACCUUCAUGCGGUGAAGUCUGAUCAUUCACCCAUACUUCUGCUUAACAGCAUGGAGGCACAUAAUCAGAGGAUAGGAAAAUCUCGGCCGUUUCGAUAUGAGUUGAUGUGGGAGCGCCAUGAGGGCUUCCAGGCGUUGGUAGAAGAGGCAUGGGGUAGAAUGCAGGCUGUAUCAGUUGCACAAUUGUCAGAAAAAUUGCAGAAUAUGGCGGCGGCCUUGAUGGGUUGGGGCUCGACCACUUUUGGUUCUGUUCGAGAGGAACUACGUAAGCUACGAAAACGUUUGGCACUUCUGCGGGAGGACCAAGCGCGGGUCAGUUCAUCCCAUGAAGAAGUGAAGAUAGAGCAGCGUAUUAUAGAACUUCGGUUCCGGGAAGAGGUGAUGUGGCGCCAAAGGGCGCGCAUACAGUGGCUGCUGGAGGGGGAUCAGAACACGAGUUUUUUUCAUAAAAAAGCAUCGAGCCGACGCAAGAAGAAUCGGGUUCAGCGACUCACGCGACCUAAUGGCACUAUUUGUGAGGACCCGGUGGAACUCGAGCAGAUGGCAGUCGAAUUUUAUGAGCAUUUAUAUGCGUCUAAAGGAGUUAUAGGGAUGGAUGAGGUUCUGUCCCACGUACCUUGUAAAGUGACUGCUGAAAUGAAUGAGAUGCUAUCUAAAACUAUCACCGAGGGGGAGGUAAAGAGUGCUUUAUUUCAGAUGUUCCCUAUGAAGGCCCCGGGGCCCGACGGAUUCCCGGCACAUUUUUUUCAGAAGUAUUGGCAUCUCUGUGGUGAAGAGGUGACAAAGAUUGUUAUUCGAGUGUUGAAGGGAGAUGACUCCCUAGAGGAGAUCAACAGGACGUUCAUAGUAAUCAUCCCUAAGGUACAGAACCCAUCAUUUCUGUCUCAGUUCCGGCCUAUAAGCUUGUGCAACGUGAUUUACAAAAUCGCUUCAAAAGUACUUGCUAACCGUCUGAAGCAGAUUCUCCUAGAAAUUAUCUCUGAAGAACAGUCGGCCUUUGUGCCGGGUCGCUUGAUCACGGACAAUGUUAUUACGGCAUAUGAGUGCCUUCAUUUCAUGAAGAAUAGCAGAAGCAAGAAAAAUGGUCAUUUUGCAUUAAAGCUAGAUAUGAUGAAAGCGUAUGACCGUGUGGAGUGGGUAUAUUUGGAGGCUAUUAUGAAAAAGCUUGGUUUUUGUAACCACUUUGUCAAGCAGGUUAUGAGAGGGGUGUCCUCCGUUACCUUUUCUUUAUUGUUUAAUGGAAGUCGCAGCCAGGAGUUUUCUCCGACACGAGGCAUUAGGCAGGGGGAUCCCAUCUCACCCUACAUGUUCUUAUUGGCAGCUGAGGGACUAUCAUGUAUGAUGAAGAAAGCAAGCGAGGAUGGAUCUUUUGAGGGCAUCAAAAUUGCACCCUUGGUGCCCAAAGUCAAUCACCUCCUUUUUGCUGACGAUUGUCUGCUCUUUAGUAGGGCGACGGCGGAACAUUCGGAGACUUUGAACAACAUUCUGAUUGCAUAUUGUCAAGCUUCUGGGCAGCGCAUAAACCAUGACAAGUCAUCCAUUUAUUUCGGGAAAGGUUGUCCCGCUUCUUGUAGAGAUAUGGUAAAGGGUAUUUUGGAUAUCCAGAAAGAAUCGUUGUGUGAGAGAUAUUUGGGGCUCCCUUCGGAUGUGGGGCGCACAAAGAAUGGUGUGUUCGCUUAUUUGAAAGAUAGAGUGUGGAAGAAUGUGCAAGGAUGGAUGGAACGGUGCCUUGCGGGAAGUGGCAAGGAGAUUCUUAUAAAGUCAGUGGUGCAAGCAAUACCAACGUACUCCAUGGCUCUAUUCAAGUUACCGAGAGGUCUAUGUCAGCAUAUUACAACAAUGAUUCGCAAGUUUUGGUGGGGGAGUAAAGCGGGCGAGAGGAAGAAGGCAUGGGUGUCAUGGGAAACUAUGUGCAUGCCAAAAUACAAGGGUGGUUUAGGGUUCCGUGAUAUGGAAAUUUUUAACCUUGCUCUUCUCGCGCGUCAGGCGUGGAGAUUACUAAAGGAACCAGAUACCCUAAGUGCUCGUAUUCUUAAGUCGGUCUACUUCCCCUACUCCGACAUUCUAUCAGCUGAUGUAGGAUCGCGCCCGUCCCAAAUAUGGCGGUCAAUCUGUGAAGGACGUGAUAUACUCCGUACAGGGCUGAUCAAGCGAAUAGGGGAUGGUGCAGACACCAACAUAUGGAAUGAUAAUUGGUUACCAAGGAACUUUAAUAUGAGGCCAAUAUGUACCGUAUCUGCUAAUCCUCCUUCACAAGUUUCGGAGCUCAUAGUGCAUGCAACCAAGUCAUGGAACGAGCAAGCACUUGAGGAGCACCUUCUGCCCAUUGAUAUAGAAAUUGUAAGGCAAAUCCCAUUAAGCUACAAGGGACAGCAAGACUUUUAUGCUUGGCAAUAUGAGAGAAGCGGCUCCUUCUCUGUCCGCUCAUGCUACCGACUAGUGGUAGAAACUAAGUAUAGGAGGGAAGCCUGGCUCAACGGCGAGUCGAGCAACUCGGAUACGGCUCAGCAAGAAAGAAGCUGGAAGCAGCUUUGGGGCGUCAAGGUUCCAGCCAAGAUUCGUGUGUUUGCUUGGCGGCUGACACGGGCGUCGCUGCCUACAGGGCAGGAAAAGGAGAGAAGGCACAUGACCGACGAAGCAUUAUGUCCGAUCUGCAAGGCAGCAGUUGACUCGUGGCGACAUGCGCUGCUGGAUUGCAACAUGGCCAAGAGUGUGUGGUCUCUACACGAUGAUGACUCUCUGCUCCCUGUUUAUGGUGAUGAGAGUUCUGAUCCCAAGCUAUGGCUUUUUAAUUUGUGUAACACACUCAGCAAGGAUAAAUUUGUUUCGGUUCUUGUGACAUUAUGGGCAAUAUGGUGGGCACGCAGAAAGGCCAUCCAUGAGCAAGAAUUCCACAGCCCGUUAUCUACACAUCAGUUCAUUGAGAAGUAUCUACACGAGCUCGAGGAGCUCCCAGCGAGACCUUCAGUUAUCAGGUCUACAAGGCAUCCGGCACCGAGGAAUAGUACAGCCUGGAUACCGCGGAAGCAAGCGAGGUGGAGUUGA
rnacentral:rRNA from 1 species